UGAAAAGUACACAGCCUGAUAGCUAUGCUGCUCUAUCGGUCAAUCAAAGAUGUGGAGCUGAACCCCUGAAUAUUAAAGUAGAUUUGCUUUUUCAGCACACUGCAGGUAAAGUGGAUUGGCAUGAAGACUGUGGAUUUGGGCAGUCCAGUCAAGGCAGACAAUCACAAAGGGGAAGCAGAGGCCAUGUGAAGUUGCAGGGUCAAACAGUCUCAGGAUAUGGUCUGCAUGUUAGCACUGAGUCAUCCCCGGGGAUCCAGAAGAAUUCAUUUGGAGAAGAAAGCAGAAGAAGCUGCCCUGAGCCACCGCAAGUGAUCAAUCACAAUUACACUAGCAAGGAUGAACACUUAAGAGCCUGGUGCAAACCCCUGUGCUGCUGAAUGCUUCGACGAUGGUAUGCAAGAAAACAGGAAGUUUCAGGAGUCAGUCCUCCUGAGAUGGAGCCCCCAGCACAAGAAAUAAGUGGUCCUGUUGGAGAGAGUCUGGAGGAGGCCAUGAGGAUGCUCAGAAAGCUUAAGCACCUCUUCUUUGAAGGCUGAGGGAGCUGGACUUGUUCAGGUUGGGGAAGAGAAGUCUCUGUGGACACCUCAUUGUGGCCUUUCAGUGCUGAAAGAGAGCUUACAAGAAAGAUGGAGAGC
rnacentral:lncRNA from 1 species